rnacentral:rRNA from 1 species
AACGAACGCUGGCGGCAUGCCUAACACAUGCAAGUCGAACGACGGCUUCGGACUUAGUGGCGCACGGGUGCGUAACGCGGGGGAAUCUGCCCUUGGGUACGGAAUAACUCAGAGGAAUAUGUGCUAAUACCGAAUAAUGUCUUCGAACCAAAGAUUUAUCGCCAAAGGAUGAGCCGGCGUAAGAUUAGCUAGGUGGUGGGGUAAAAGUCUACCAAGGCGACGAGCUGUAGCGGGUCUGAGAGGAGGACCAGCCACACUGGGCCUGAGACACGGCCCAGACUCCUACGGGGGGCAGCAGUGGGGAAUCUUGGACGAUGGGCGCAAGCCUGAUCCAGCCAUUCCGCGUGCAGGACGAAGGCGUUCGGGUUGUAGAGUGCUGUUGUAUGGAACGAAAAGGCUCUGGCUAAUACCGGGGGCUCAUGACGGUACCGUAAGAAUAAGCACCGGCUAACUACGUG